rnacentral:other from 1 species
AAGCCUCUGCCAAGUUGGUACGGUUUGUAGCGUUCUUGAGCCAAUAUUUAAAACUUAUGGGAGCUCAAAUACUCUCCGUAGAGCAUACGCCCCCUCGGGGGAUUUGCGAAGCGGAAAUGCGGGCACCCACUUGAACCUCAGGUUCAAACAGCUCCUACCGUACGGCCGCGUGGAGGCUUG